rnacentral:rRNA from 1 species
AUUGAACGCUGGCGGCAGGCCUAACACAUGCAAGUCGAGCGGAGCGGCGCACGGGUGAGUAACGCGUGAGUAACUGCCCCCCUCUCUGGGAUAACAGUUGGAAACGGCUGCUAAUACCGGAUAGUGGGGGAUGACUCGCGUCCUAUCAGCUUGUUGGUUGGGUAGUGGCCUACCAAGGCGACGACGGGUAGCCGGCCUGAGAGGGCGACCGGCCACAUUGGGCGGAGAUACAGCACAAACGCCUACGGGAGGCAGCAGUGGGGAAUAUGGCACAAUGGGGGAAACCCUGAUGCAGCAACGCCGCGUGCGGGAUGACGGCCUUCGGGUUGUAAACCGCUUUCAGCAAUGACGCGGUAGUGGCAGAAGAAGCACCGGCUAACUACGUGCCAGCAGCCGCGGUAAUAC